GUGAAUCAUCGAAUUUUUGAACGCAAAUUGCACUCUCUUCGGUGCGUGUGCCUGUUUGAGGGUCAGUAUUAAUAAAAAUAGGUGUCUUGCUUCUUUGUGUCGCUCCGGAGUCUGGGUCAUCUUAAUAUCCUUUAGGUUUUAAGAGGCUUGAUAUUGACUUUUUUUGUGCAUUUUCGUUGUCCAUAACUUCUUUUUUUUAUUCGUCUGUCUUA
rnacentral:misc_RNA from 1 species